UACGGGGGGGGCAAGCGUUGUUCGGAAUUACUGGGCGUAAAGGGCUCGUAGGCGGCCAACUAAGUCAGACGUGAAAUCCCUCGGCUUAACCGGGGAACUGCGUCUGAUACUGGAUGGCUUGAGAUUGGGAGAGGGAUGCGGAAUUCCAGGUGUAGCGGUGAAAUGCGUAGAUAUGCGGAGGAACACCGAUGGCGAAGGCAAUCCCCUGGACCUGUACUGACGCUCAUGCACGAAAGCGUGGGGAGCAAACAGG
rnacentral:rRNA from 1 species